UAAAGAUGCAGGAGGUGCAAGCCUCGCUGUAAACCCGCUCCACCGAACGUGAGUUUAAGCGAUGUGUGCCAUCGUCGGCAGCGGGGGCCGCGUAAGCGGCUUUUUUUAUGC
rnacentral:sRNA from 12 species